AGCGGUUCUUCCAGCUAAGCGGCACCCUCGCACUGAGCUGAGCCCGAGAGCAGCGCCCGGGAUCCGCUCCGCCCGCCUUACCCACACACUGCUCUGAUCCCUGCAGCAGAGGACACACUGGCCCUGAACGUAUGGCUGGACAGACUUGAGACACUUACAUAGGCACAGAGAGAGCACAGUAGCACAGAUCUUCAGGACUGACAGAAGAAAGGAUCUAGAACAGUGGGUCAGAAGUAGACAGGGACAACCAGAAGUAGACCACAGCAUAGCAGGUAAGUCACUAUUUCAAAGCACAAGGAAAAAAAGCUUGAAUUUUUAGAGCCCAUUUCCUCCAGAGCCUGCAGCACCGUCCAAGGUUCUGAAAAAACUGUGAAACCCACUGGCCAUUGCGGGCGACGGAGGAACGACACGCCCAGACGGACUCAAUGUGGGUGAUAGAGCAUCAUAUAUCGUAUCCUUUAUUAGUCCAGGGUA